CUGACCGUUCUCACGCUGAAGAAGUCUCCUUCAGAACACAUCGCGAUAUUUGGCAUCAGUUCGCGUGUGCUGGAUGUUGCUGAAAAGACAAAAAGGGCCUUUUGGAAAUGGAUGAAGGAGACAGAAAGCUGCAAAGGCAAAUAAUUGCAAUGAAGGAAAUCCUACAGUUAUGUAUGAACUCACAACAUCAUCAUCAAGUGCUGUGCUGGGCACAUUGGGUAACAAGUGUCCUCCAACGUAUCCAAUCUGUGACCACAUUCUCCACAUCUUCCCAUGGGACAUCGACAUUCUUCAGGCCUUCGUUUCCAUGUCUUCCCCUGCAUUCUCCUGGUGGUGUCCACUUCAUAUCUGUCUUUGGGUGUUGUUGUUUGGUCAUGCUUAGGGUGUGUCCGGGGAGGUGCACCCUUCACUCUGUCACAGUUUUUAAAAGUCUUCACGUGGACUCCUCCUUAUGAUCUCCUUGAAACGUGCAGAACCAAUAUUGAAAAUAGUAAUUUAUCUUUUUCCAUAUUCUUGCCUUUAUCAAAGAAGCACCAGUGCUCAUCCGGAGUUUUGGUAAAAGUUCUAGUAAUGCUGCGACUAUAGUCAAAUAUGUAUUUCUGCAUGUGUGUAUAGCAGGUGUUUGUCCGAACAAUUGAAGUUAGUGAGAGUGUUCAGGAAAACCCUCUGAGAACAAUCAAUAUUUAUUUAAUUCUGUUUGGUGCUGAUAUAGAGUAUUACAGAAAUGACACAUUGACAUUCUGGACAUUAUUCUGUGAGUUUGUUACCUCUUCAUUUAGAUGGACUUGAAAAUAUCUUGCAUUUUGUUUCAUUAAACGUUUUAUCACAGUGUCACUAUAGUAAAUGUCCACCUUAACUACACUGUAAAAAAUUGACUGUAAAAUUUACAGUAACUUACUGGCAACUUUGGUUGCCAGUAAGACUGUAAAAUUUCCAAGAGUACUGUAAAUCAUUAACUACAAAUGUACUGUAAAAUUUACAGUAACUUACUGGCAAUUUUGGUUGCCAGCAAUACUGUAAAAUUUCCAAGAGUACUGUAAAUCAUUAACUACAAUUGUACUGUAAAAAAACAGCACACUGUAUAUACGCUGUACAUUUCUUACAGCUGUAACAAAUUAAAGUUGAAAUAAUUAUGAAUGCAAGUGAAAUUACAAGAGCAACAAUGAACUUAAAUGUACUGCUAUACAUUUUACAGUAAAUUAGAGCAUUUGAUGUGGAAUUCAAUUCACUAUUUGUUUGCUGUAAGUUAAAGCAUUUUUGUCAAAUAAAACUCACAAUAACAGGUUCAGUAACAUAACAAAUUUAUUGUAAUGGCUAUUUAACACAACCAGAUUUCAAAAAAUGUAUCUGGAGAAACAAAGG